rnacentral:rRNA from 1 species
AAUCAACGCUGGCGGCGUGCCUCAGACAUGCAAGUCGAACGCGAAAGCUCCCUUCGGGGGGCAAGUAGAGUGGCGCACGGGUGAGUAACACGUAGGUAAUCUACCUUCGGAUGGGGAAUAACAACCGGAAACGGUUGCUAAUACCGCAUAAUGCAGCGGCACCUAAUGGUGACAGUUGUUAAAGCGGGGGAUCGAAAGACCUCGCGUCUGAAGAGGAGCCUGCGGCAGAUUAGCUAGUUGGUAAGGUAACGGCUUACCAAGGCGAUGAUCUGUAGCCGGCCUGAGAGGGCGGUCGGCCACACUGACACUGACAUACGGGUCAGACUCCUACGGGAGGCAGCAGUCGGGAAUUUUGGGCAAUGGGCGAAAGCCUGACCCAGCAACGCCGCGUGAAGGAUGGAAUCCCUCGGGAUGUAAACUUCGCAAGAACAGGAAGAAUAAGUAAGGGUUAAUAUCUCUUACGAUGACGGUACUGUUUGUAAGCUCCGGCUAACUCCGUGCCAGCAGCCGCGGUAAUACGGGGGGAGCAAGCGUUGUUCGGAUUUACUGGGCGUAAAGGGCGCGUAGGCGGCCACCGCAAGUCGACUGUGAAAUCUCCGGGCUUAACCCGGAAAGGUCAGCCGAUACUGCGGGGCUAGAGUGCAGAAGGGGCAACUGGAAUUCUCGGUGUAGCGGUGAGAUGCGUAGAUAUCGAGAGGAACACCUGCGGCGAAGGCGGGUUGCUGGGCUGACACUGACGCUGAGGCGCGAAAGCCAGGGGAGCGAACGGGAUUAGAUACCCCGGUAGUCCUAGCCUUAAACGAUGAAUGCUUGGUGUCUGGGGUUUUAUAGUCCCCGGGUGCCGUCGCUAACGCUUUAAGCAUUCCGCCUGGGGUGUACGGUCGCAAGACUGAAACUCAAAUGAAUU